rnacentral:lncRNA from 1 species
AAUCUGGGUGAGCCUGCUCAGACGGNAUUCCUGUUUUAUUUUGUUUCCAUGGGGAGAAGUUCAUGGUAAGAAUUAGAGACAUUCAGUUCUAUCAGACCAAAUACACCACAACUGAGAAUACAUAUACACAUUGAUAUACUAAGAAAGUCAAAGUCAAGGAACCAAACUUAUAAUCAGUUCAACCAUCUAUUACAUGCCUUUAGGAAAAAAAUCAUCACCUCUCUCAGCUUUAGCUUCCUGAGAUACAAAUUACAGAUGAUAACCACCAUCUCUAUCCUCAGCAGUUUGUUCCAGAGUAUUUUACAUUAUAGUAUCACAAAAAGCAUUACAAAAUUUCAUAUCAUGCAUUAAUAAAGUUUCAAUUAAAUACUUCACAAGACAAACUGUUAUACCAGAUUCUGUAAACAGUACACCUAAGAAAAUGUUUUGUUUAUUAAGAAACAUACAACUAUAGUUCAUAACUUUUUAAGCAAGUACUCUUUACCAUGGAUAUAUAUUUUUGCAAGCAAAUAUUUACUUGUAAACUACCGUAUCUAAAUUCUCUUUUUCUCAUCAAUCAAAACUUAUUGUAAGGUACUAGAAAUUAGUAUUGAGAUUAGAUUUUUUGGUUCUUGUGCUAAGAAUUUCUGUAUGCUAGUCUUCAUUAAAAAAAUUUAAUUAUGAGGAAUUUAGAAACAAAAUAACCCAGGAUUAUGUCAUAUUUCAGAUUUUUUUUGGCUAUCAUACUCGUGGUUAUAGUUUAUUGUAAGGCAAGGACACGGAGGGUUCCAAAUGUCUCAGGAUAUGGUACCUUCUCAGUGUUGAUAUAUAUGACUACAUAGAGAGAGUAUUGCCAACCAAGCAAGUUGACCCAAGUCUCCAUGUGCAGAAAUUUUAUUAGGGCUGCAUUAGAUAAGCAUGACUGAUUGAUUGCCUACCUAGUAGAAACUCAGCCCCAGGUUGGCAGAUACAUGAUACAAAUUUCCCACUCUAAAAUCACUUGAUUGGCAUUUCUGGUGUGACCAGUUUCUACCCUACAUAUUUCAGAUUUUUUAAUGUUAAAAACAAUGAAAUCAUUAAAUUUUAAAUUUCUCAAUCAAUAUUUACUUCCAAUAUUUUAGACAAAAUAUUAAUAUAUGGGCUGGGGUUGUGGCUCAGUGGUAGAGUGCUCGCCUAGCACAUGCAAGGCCCUGGGUUUGAUUCUCAGCACCACAUACAAAUAAAUAAAGUAAAGGUAUUAUAUCCAUGUACAAUUAAAAAAAUUUAAAAAUAUAUAGUAAUAUAUUUUCACUCUCCAAAUAAAAGAUUCCC